GUGCCCUCCAGUGCCCUUCUGGACUGUCAUUACUGUUGUUCCUGUUUAUAAAAGCAUUUUCUGGCAAAGCAUGAGUGUCCAGCUUGAGCUGUGGGAGCUGCCAGACUACCUCUGCCCAUGGAUCAUUGUGCAGCCUUGGGCAAGUCCUGAGGAAGCCAGUCACAAAUACUAGGAGGAACUAAGGCAGCUCUGCUUUCUCCACCAUCAACAGCAGUGCAGUCUUUUGCUGAGAGCUCAGAUGUGCAAUUAAAGCUAAUGUGAACUUCGCUGAGGCAGUUAUGUUUUUCUAGGGUUAGUAUUUUUCAGAUCCCCUGAACUAUCCUGGAGGUUAUAACUAACAUAAUAUGAAACCUGGAAAAGCUGCUGAUAUAGAAAAUUCUAACAGCGUUCCUCAAGACAGGACACAGCACCCAUAUGUGACAAGCAUGAUCAGGAGCCUGAGUCAAUUAUGA
rnacentral:lncRNA from 1 species